rnacentral:lncRNA from 1 species
UCAUAUAUCGUUUUAUCCAAAACCCUAAUCUUCUCCACCUCUAUCACCAAUCUUCUCUACCGUCACACCAACAAACUGGUGUUUCCAUUAUGUGCAAUCCAAUCCUCUUUUCACUUUCUCUGCAAUCAAAGUUUUUGGUGGUGUAGUUUCUCUUGAAAUUCAUGAUGCCGAAUUACCGAUUUCAAUGGGGUGAUAUUCGUACAAAAUCAACUUAAUACAACCUGACUUGAAGAAUGUGCUAAAAAGGUUACUUUUUUAUUAACGCUAUCAACAACAAGUCCAAGGGCUGUUGGUCCAAUCCUCCCAGCAGCCAUUCCACUCCUUGGAUCUGUUAGAAAGUCAGUUGAAAGAGCUGGAGAUUAUGUCUUCUACAACCUGCAUUGCCGAUUUGGACGUCUCUUUAAAAAGCCUGUUGUACAUACCCCCAUCAUGAUACUGAAGUGAUUCGCCAAGAGCGAGUGAUGACAUUCCGUAAAGAGCUGCUCCACCGAAACCUACCCCAUGAGAUCCCAUUUGCACCAGAGAGAGUUUCCUCCAGACGUCUUUAGCUAGAGGGAAAUCGAUGAAAACAUAAGUCACCAAUACAUAAAAGGCCCAUUAUACUUCAUGAUUAAUUAUACUUCAUGAUUAUUUGUUUUAGGUAUUUGGAUUUCAAGUUGACAAUGGUAUAUAAAUAGAAAGCUGGUAUGAUCACCAUAUGAAUCAAAUUAAAUAUUAAAUUUUUAGUUGAGAUUUCUUUUAUCAUAUAU